GUGUCAGCAGCCGCGGUAAUACGGAGGAUCCGAGCGUUAUCCGGAUUUAUUGGGUUUAAAGGGUGCGUAGGCGGGAUAGUAAGUCAGUGGUGAAAGCCCGCAGCUCAACUGCGGAACUGCCAUUGAUACUGCUAACCUUGAGUAUGUAUGAUGUGGGCGGAAUGUGCAGUGUAGCGGUGAAAUGCUUAGAUAUUGCACAGAACACCGAUUGCGAAGGCAGCUCACAAAACCAUAACUGACGCUGAGGCACGAAAGCGUGGGGAUCAAACAGGAUUAGAAACCCCCGUAGUCC
rnacentral:rRNA from 1 species